GGACUACUAGGGUUUCUAAUCCUUUUUGCUCCCCACGCUUUCGUCCCUCAGUGUCAGGGUCGCCCCAGCAGAUUGCCUUCGCUUUUGGUGUUCCCGACGAGAUCAACGGAUUUCACCCCUACUCCGUCGGUUCCAUCUGCCCUUAACGCCCUCUGAGUUUGGCAGUAUUCAAAACAGCUCAAAGGUUAAGCCGAUGAGGUUUAAUCUUGAACUUACCAAACCACCUACGGACCCUUUACGCCCAAUAAAUCCGGGUAACGCUUGGGGUCUCUGUAUUACCGCGGCGGCUGGCAC
rnacentral:rRNA from 1 species